rnacentral:lncRNA from 1 species
AAAAAGCUAGGGAGGAAAUAUCUAAUCAAGAGAUAGGAAGCUUUAUGACAUAAGUCAAGCAAGAAUUUCCUCAUUUGGAUUAAGCCUCAAGCAAGCCAAAUAAGCAAAGAAUAAAUCAUGUAUCAGAUGAAACCAGAAUAACCUAGCCAAGUCUUCAAAAUAAGUCCAAAGUCAAAGGUACCAGAUGAAUCCCAAGGUCUCAAAUCACAAGUUCCC